CACUUCCACCUGGUUCCCAUAACGAAGAUGGUUCGUCUGCAGGAGAUGUCGGCUGAUGGGAUACGACAAUAAGCUGUGCAUACCAAAAGAAGAGGGGGGCUGUCCAACCACUGAGGAGGAAGCAAUCCUACCCCCAAAAGACUGACACAACUUUCAAAAGAAGAGGAGGCAUCAUCAGGAGAUUGUGAAGUGAGGCAUUCUUCCAAAGGUAAAGCUGCCCAGAAAAGGCGACCCAGGACACUGAAAGAGGUGAAGGCUGUCGAUAAGCACAUGAAGCGAUUCAUCCCAUUUGGUAUUGUACCAGCAAAGAGUGGCUGUUUAAAAUGUUUGAGGGCCAAACCGGAAGCUCCCCAAAACCGGGAAUGGCAAGCAUUGAAUUUCUAUGUGUACAACCGCAUUACCGCUUUCAAAAGGAGAUUGCAGGUAAAAUAGUAGAUUAAGAGAAAAUCGGUAAGACUGGUUAAGUACAACAGUUU